UGGUGCCAGCAGCCGCGGCAACUUCAGCUCCAAUAGCGUAUAUUAACAUUGUUGCAUUUAAAAAGCUCGUAGUUGAAUUUAUUUUUAUAAAUUUUAUAUAAGUAGUAUUAUUUUAUAAUAAAAUUAUUUAAAUUUAUUUUUUAUAAUUUUAUUAUAUAUUAAACGGUAAUAUUAUUUAUAAUUUAUAAAAAAAUUUUAUGUUAUAUUAUUUAGUAAUAGAUAAUAUAAUAUAAAUAUUACUGUGAAAAAAUUAGAGUGUUUAAAGCAUGUAUAUAAAAUUAAAAAAUAUAUUUUCUGAAUAUAUUUUUUUAGCUUGAAUAUAUUAGCAUGGAAUAAUAAUAUUAUAAUAUUUUUAUAUUAUUUUGUUGGUUAAAUAUAAAAAUAUAUGAUUAAUAGGGACAAUUGGGGGUAUUUAUAUUUCAUAGUCAGAGGUGAAAUUCUGGGAUUUAUGAAAGAUAAACAAAUGCGAAAGCAUUUACCAAAAAUGUUUUCAUUAAUCAAGAACGAAAGUUAGGGGAUCAAAGAGGCUUAGAUACCC
rnacentral:rRNA from 1 species